UCUUUUUUCCUCUUACUUUGUAAGGGUUAAAUUGUACUGUAGGGCUAACGCUUAGCUUGAAAGAUAACAACUUUGUUCUGACACUGAAGGUCAAAAGAUAACAACCUUGCUUUUACUCUUGUAAAUCAUACUUCAUA